AUGAAGUUUUUCUCAUUGUCCACUUGUCCUGUAAUAUUCCACAUCAAGUAUGCUGUUGAUAAUAUGGCUUUAUGGUGGAGUGGGUCAUUUCCUGACAAUGAAUUGCUAAUGACAACAGUGCAAGAGAAAAAACAAGCCAAUACGAAUAAGAUUAAAGCUGAGAAACACACACCUCUGAUGCCAUGUUAUGUUCAGUGCAUCAUCACCGUCAAGCCUAAAAUGUAUCUGGAAAGAUGCAAGCAAGUUGAUUGAGUUGAACCUGGGCGAACAUGGCCACCAAACAGGUCCGAUCGACCGUAUGUAUAGCUCUGUAUUUUUUAGUCUAUAAUUUUAGGUUUUUUGUUCAUAUAUUUUUUACUAUUCUUUUAUUUUUUUCAUUAUUAAUUGUAUUUAUUUAUUCACUUGAUUAGCAUGGUGUACAAUUAAUGCUAAAAAUUGUAACUCCAAAAAAUUGUGUAUAUGUUUGAAUAUACUAAAUCGAUGGUGAAACUGCAAAAAUGCGUAUCUCGGUUGCGGUGUUUGAAAAUAUCCGUUCCUAUUUUAUUUUUAAAAGGAAACCAAACCAACAUCGUGGCUUGAAAUUUUCACAGAAUAUUCUUCACAUAGAGAAGAAAAAUAUCCAAAGUGCUCAAUAAAUGACGUUUAGUGGUUUUCCAUAUGAAAAUUAAAGUAUGACAGGAAGUCUGCAACGCUGCAAACCGAUAUACGCAUUCCUGCAGUUUCACCAUCGAAAUAUUAAAUUUCCAUUCCUUUAAACAGUUGUUCAAUGUAUCAUUCUAAGUUCUGCGAAGAGAAGAAUGCUGUGUUAACAUGUCGAUGGUGGAAUGGGUUAAACUGCAGGACUGCAUUUUGGUUUGCAGUGUUGCAGAAUUCAUGUUAUACUUUAUUUCUAAAAAGUUUUAAAAAUACUAAACAUAAUCUAUUUUAACUUCUCUGAUUUUUCUUCUCUGCGUCAAGAAUAUUAUGUGAAAAUUUCAAACACUAGGGUUUGUUUGUUCUCUUUUGAUAAAAUUAAAUAGAAGGGUAGAUUUUGAAACACUGCAAAUUAGAUAGUUCUCUUCCAGUUUCUUUGUCGCUUUGUAGGUUUACAAAGUGCUCGUAACAAAAUAUUUUCUCGC
rnacentral:lncRNA from 1 species